UAGAAGUGCGGCGAGCUAUACAUGCAAGUCGAGCGGACCGACGGGAGCUUGCUCCCUUAGGUCAGCGGCGGACGGGUGAGUAACACGUGGGUAACCUGCCUGUAAGACUGGGAUAACUCCGGGAAACCGGGGCUAAUACCGGAUGCUUGAUUGAACCGCAUGGUUCAAUCAUAAAAGGUGGCUUUUAGCUACCACUUACAGAUGGACCCGCGGCGCAUUAGCUAGUUGGUGAGGUAACGGCUCACCAAGGCGACGAUGCGUAGCCGACCUGAGAGGGUGAUCGGCCACACUGGGACUGAGACACGGCCCAGACUCCUACGGGAGGCAGCAGUAGGGAAUCUUCCGCAAUGGACGAAAGUCUGACGGAGCAACGCCGCGUGAGUGAUGAAGGUUUUCGGAUCGUAAAACUCUGUUGUUAGGGAAGAACAAGUACCGUUCGAAUAGGGCGGCACCUUGACGGUACCUAACCAGAAAGCCACGGCUAACUACGUGCCAGCAGCCGCGGUAAUACGUAGGUGGCAAGCGUUGUCCGGAAUUAUUGGGCGUAAAGCGCGCGCAGGCGGUUUCUUAAGUCUGAUGUGAAAGCCCCCGGCUCAACCGGGGAGGGUCAUUGGAAACUGGGGAACUUGAGUGCAGAAGAGGAGAGUGGAAUUCCACGUGUAGCGGUGAAAUGCGUAGAGAUGUGGAGGAACACCAGUGGCGAAGGCGACUCUCUGGUCUGUAACUGACGCUGAGGCGCGAAAGCGUGGGGAGCGAACAGGAUUAGAUACCCUGGUAGUCCACGCCGUAAACGAUGAGUGCUAAGUGUUAGAGGGUUUCCGCCCUUUAGUGCUGCAGCAAACGCAUUAAGCACUCCGCCUGGGGAGUACGGUCGCAAGACUGAAACUCAAAGGAAUUGACGGGGGCCCGCACAAGCGGUGGAGCAUGUGGUUUAAUUCGAAGCAACGCGAAGAACCUUACCAGGUCUUGACAUCCUCUGACAACCCUAGAGA
rnacentral:rRNA from 1 species